rnacentral:rRNA from 1 species
GUGAGGAAUAUUGGUCAAUGGGCGGGAGCCUGAACCAGCCAAGUCGCGUGAAGGAAGAAGGAUCUAUGGUUCGUAAACUUCUUUUGCAGGGGAAUAAAGUGCAGGACGUGUCCUGUUUUGUAUGUACCCUGAGAAUAAGGAUCGGCUAACUCCGUGCCAGCAGCCGCGGUAAUACGGAGGAUCCGAGCGUUAUCCGGAUUUAUUGGGUUUAAAGGGUGCGUAGGUGGUUUGAUAAGUCAGCGGUGAAAGUUUGCAGCUUAACUGUAAAAAUGCCGUUGAAACUGUCGGACUUGAGUGUAAAUGAGGUAGGCGGAAUGCGUGGUGUAGCGGUGAAAUGCAUAGAUAUCACGCAGAACUCCGAUUGCGGAGGCAGCUUACUAAGCUACAACUGACACUGAAGCACGAAAGCGUGGGGAUCAAACAGGAUUAGAAACCCUUGUAGUCC